rnacentral:piRNA from 3 species
UUGGUGGUAUAGUGGUGAGCAUA